rfam:Tetrahymena thermophila SB210 genomic scaffold scf_8254644, whole genome shotgun sequence.
GGAAUUGUAGCUCAGUUGGGAGAGCGGAAGAAUCCAAAUCUUUAGGUCAAAGGUUCAAAUCCUUUCAAUUCCC